rnacentral:rRNA from 1 species
AGCGAAAUUCCUUGUCGGGUAAGUUCCGACCUGCACGAAUGGCGUAACGAUCUCCACACUGUCUCGGCCAGAGACUCGGUGAAAUUGAAGUCGCGGUGAAAAUGCCGUGUACCCGCAGAAAGACGGAAAGACCCUGUGCACCUUUACUAUAGCUUGACAUUGGGAUUUGAGCCUGCAUGUGUAGCAUAGGUGGGAGGCUGUGAACUCUGUACGCCAGUAUGGAGGGAGCCAUCGUUGAAAUACCACCCUUGUUUGUUCAGGUCCCUAACUCUUCGCCGUGAUCCGGUAAGAGGACAGUGUCUGGUGGGUAGUUUGACUGGGGCGGUCGCCUCCCAAAAUGUAACGGAGGCAUGCAAAGGUUCCCUCAGGCUGAUUGGAAACCAGCCGUCGAGUGCAAACGCAAAAGGGAGCUUGACUGCAAGAGAGACAUCUCGAGCAGGUACGAAAGUAGGUGUUAGUGAUCCGGUGAUCCCGAAUGGAAGGGUCAUCGCUCAUUGGAUAAAAGGUACGCCGGGGAUAACAGGCUGAUCGCAUCCAAGAGUUCACAUCGACGAUGCGGUUUGGCACCUCGAUGUCGGCUCAUCACAUCCUGGGGCUGAAGCAGGUCCCAAGGGUACGGCUGUUCGCCGUUUAAAGUGGUACGCGAGCUGGGUUUAAAACGUCGUGAGACAGUUUGGUCCCUAUCUUCUGUGGGCGUAGGAGAAUUGAAAGGGCCUGUCCCUAGUACGAGAGGACCGGGAUGGACACACCACUGGUGGACCUGUUGUCGUGCCAACGGCACAGCAGGGUAGCUAUGUGUGGAAGGGAUAACCGCUGAAAGCAUCUAAGCGGGAAGCCUGCCUUAAGAUAAGUUCUCCCUGACGCAAGUCCUGAAGGGCCGAGGUAGACGACCUCGUUGAUAGGCUGGAGGUGGAAGCCCUGUGAGGGGUGGAGCUGACCAGUACUAAUAGCCCGUGCGUCUUGUUUCU